UAAAAAUGGCGAACUAUAAGGAGGAGGGACUUCAAUCGUUGAAGAAACUAGAUGUUAAAGCUGUCACUAAACUGCUGCAUGGUUUGGUGGACAAUGUUUGUAAGAGAGGACACCUGCAUUACCAAGACUAUGAUCAAACGUGGAGCCUGGAGGAAUGGUUUGACUUGGUGGAGGCUGUCGAGGGACUGAUAAAGGCUGCUAUCCGAGAACCACUCAACAAAGACCAGAUUUAUCAGAGACUUGGCAGUUUACCACAGGAAUACCAGUCUGUGUUCAUGGAAGUUAUCAACGCAAGACGGUCCGACAUCCAUCAGCAGCUGGUCACUGAUACAAACUUAAUCUCAAAAUCCACCUUAAAAGAUUUUGAUUGGCAAAUUAAGGUCAGCUCCAGGACAAUAUAAACUACUUAUAAAGAUCGUAUAUUACAUUUUUUUUAUUAUCAGAAAGAACAUAUGAAAGUGAUAGCUGCAGGUCUGUAGCUCCUGGUUUGAAAAAAAAAAAAUGGAUGGACGUAUUGUGAUAUUGUUUGAAUUAUAAAUAAACUACUGGUAAAAGUCCAAGGUGUAUCCCCACUUCUUUUAAAACAUAUUCCUACUCCAUUCUAAAGAAAAAAGAGGUCUAUUUCACAGUAUCAGACUAGAAUUUGAGAUUCAUAUUUCCUACAGAGCUUAUAUAAUACUGAUAGCUACAUUCUUUAAUGCACUACAGAUACUGAAAUUAAUUUGCAGUUAGCAAUGGCUAGUGACAAGCUUUCCUCCAUCCAAGAACCUCUACUCAAUCUUGAUCUUGACGUUCAGAAUGAGGCUACAACAGAAAUACAUUCACUAGAGCUAACACGAGAGGAUUUGAAAAACCUCAUCUCAAGCCUGGAGGGAGCAAAUCGGGUAAGCAAAUGUGUCAUAGUACAGAGAAUUAAUGUAGCCCAAUGAUCACAAUCAGAGAAUACGUACAUGACACUUCAUUUUAUUUUUAAAAAAAAAGGCUAUGGAGGGAGGAGAAAUUAGCUUAAAAUUACUGUCAUGUCUCAAAGCCUCCAUACAGUAGAAAAUCUGCUUGCUGCAGCAGAAUAAAAUGAUGCCACAAAGUUAACAAAGCAUUGGAUCUUGUAUUAGUAUUUUGACAAAAUAUACAUUGAUACUUGAGGAAACAAUUAUUUGAAAUCUGUUUUAUCAUUCAUUUUAUAUACUGAUACUGUCUCUGUUUAAACCAACCAUUCAACACUGACCCUUGCUAUAUCAAUGGUUUACAUAUUAUUGUUAGACCAAAUAAACUAUUUACAGGCUGUUCAGCAGUGGAAAACAUGAGUAGAAACAUGUCAGAUGAUGUCUAGAUGAAAAUACACAGGGAUAUAACUCCGGACUUGGUCACAUGAUAACAGAGCCGUACAGAAACAUAUAGUGCCAGCUACACAAGCAAUCAGUGCAUUGCUCUAUCUGUAUAUCGUCUGAAAUAUUUGUAUUAUAUGUACAUUAAACAAAAAUUAUUUUCUAACGUU
rnacentral:misc_RNA from 1 species